rnacentral:sRNA from 1 species
UGUUUGCGAUAUUAUUCUAAUACUUACAA